GAUGAACGCUGGCGGCGUGCCUAAUACAUGCAAGUCGAGCGAACGGACGAGAAGCUUGCUUCUCUGAUGUUAGCGGCGGACGGGUGAGUAACACGUGGAUAACCUACCUAUAAGACUGGGAUAACUUCGGGAAACCGGAGCUAAUACCGGAUAAUAUUUUGAACCGCAUGGUUCAAAAGUGAAAGACGGUCUUGCUGUAACUUAUAGAUGGAUCCGCGCUGCAUUAGCUAGUUGGUAAGGUAACGGCUUACCAAGGCAACGAUGCAUAGCCGACCUGAGAGGGUGAUCGGCCACACUGGAACUGAGACACGGUCCAGACUCCUACGGGAGGCAGCAGUAGGGAAUCUUCCGCAAUGGGCGAAAGCCUGACAGAGCAACGCCGCGUGAGUGAUGAAGGUCUUCGGAUCGUAAAACUCUGUUAUUAGGGAAGAACAUAUGUGUAAGUAACUGUGCACAUCUUGACGGUACCUAAUCAGAAAGCCACGGCUAACUACGUG
rnacentral:rRNA from 1 species